rnacentral:lncRNA from 1 species
GGAAAAUAAAAAGUUUUGGGGAAUAAAAGUUUGAGGGAAAGUAAAUAGGGGGAGUAAAAUUUUGGAGGGAAAAUAUUAAAAAAAAUUGGAGGAGGGAGGGUUUGGGGUAGAUGAGAGGUGGGAUGGGAAGGGAAUAAAAUUUUUAAGGGAAAAGUGGGAGGGAGUAAAAAUUUUGGGAGAAAAUAAAAGGUUUUAAGGGUUUUUGGGAGUAAAAUUUUGAGAAAAAAGUAAACGGGAGAGUAAAAUUUUGGUGGGAAAUGGAUUUUGGGUAGAUUGGGGGAUUGGGAGGGGAGGGGAGUAAAAGUUUUGGGGGGAAAGUGGGAAGGAGUAAAAGUUUUGACGGAAAAGCAAAAAGGUUUGGGAGUUUGGGGUAAAAAUGUAAAAUAUUAUAGUUUGAUGUUUGAAUUAUUCGAAUUAUUCGAGUUAUUCAAAUUCGAAAACUCAACUCAAUUCGAACUCGAAAUUUGAAAAAAAAAUUCGAGUUGAUUCGAAUAACUCGAUUAACUUGAAUAACUCGAUUCGUUUAACUCGAAAUUCAAAUUUUUUUUUAUUUUUUCGAGUCGAAUCGAGUUUUGCUCACC